CUGGAGACCAGGAGGGGUCCUGGGGACGUCCGGUACUGGAGUCCGGUGUUCACAGGCGCCCUGGUGCUGCUGGUGGGGCUUAGGGAUUGGUCCUUGGCCCAGGCCCCUUAGUUUGAUCCCGAUAGGAAACACGGCCACGCCCCCAACCUCACUGGAUGUCACUGAGGGGUCCUUGGCCUCCAUCGCAGGGGCCUGGACAGCGUUGGACUUCUGACACACACACACGCACACACCUGCUUCCGUGAAACACAACCGUGGUAACACAACACAUCUCUAGGUGGCUGGUCCGAUCCAUUUGGAUCCUACAAUACAGAGACCUACUUCCCAGACGUCCUCUUCCUCCAACUUCCCCAACGGCCUUUAUUCUCGAGACUGGAUUUUGAAUUUUCCGCCGCAGGACGGCCGGAGGCGGCCUUGCUGAAGGUCAGGGAUCCCCUCCCCUCGCGCGCUCCCCACCCCGCUGCGCACUCACCUGCUCCGGGGUGCGGGACGCCCGCCGCUGUCCGCGGCCACAGGGGAGUGGUGCCGGGGCCGGCGCCCCGCUGGGCUCCUCUCGGCCCAACCGAGCUGCAGGAGGUGGAGGCGCGAUCGCUCACCGGUGUGCGACGCCAGGGAGAGCAGGUCAUCCGGGCGGCGCACGCCACCCCACCCCCACCUCCGCCCAGCAGUGGUCCGGGGAGGGCGCGGCCUCGGAACGGCUGCCCUGGGCUCUUCCUUGGGGCGGGCGGCAGGAGUUCGCAGGCCAGAGGGUCCGAGGGCUGAGAAUCCCUUCCCGUCCCUUUGUGGUCUCUUUGUGGGGCGGAAGAUGGAGAGCAGGGGGCUGAUUUUGCCUCUGCCAGCUCAGGCUGAGCAUCUAGAAAGCUACUGGUGUGACCCAGAUUCCAGCAGGCUCAGGAACAUCAUGAGGACAAGGAAAGGCCUGCGCCUGGAAAGCCAAAACCCACACUGCCACCCGAAUCGUUCUCAUGCUCGCCCCAUGAACACAUCCGACAGAGGGCCUGAUCAUCUUGCACUCUGCUGCGUUACCACAGACCCCAGGGGGAGUCCAGUGAGACCCAGAGCCCGAUACCCACAGGCGCCGUGAAUCACCACCGCACCUGGAGCUGUGCUAGGAGCUACAAGUGAGAUCGUGCAGCAUCUGGGUCAGGAUACUCUCAAGUCUCUGAUACCUCGGGAGACCACCCUCUCUGGCGACCAAGGGAGCCCCAGCAUCAUUAACAUUCGGGGAGCGCGGGCAUUGGGGGGACCCUGCUGUCACUUCUCUGGGUUGAGAGAUGCUGUCUGCCUUAGGAGCCUGCUUGGGGAGGGCAGUAGGUGUGUCAGGAGCAUGAGGGUAGUGGGGACCAAUGUCCUAGCGAGUGAGGGGGGACAAGGACCAUGUCGUGUUUCCUUUCUGUGCCAACUACGAGGUUUCAUAGGCAAUGUCAACCUACUGGUCAACUGGCUUGCUUUGUUUAUCCAUAGCAGGCACCAUGCAUGCUGCCUGUGCACAGGUGCUCAAUAAAUUUCUACUGAACAACUAUUUUAAGGUCUCUGUGUCACUAUGCCCUGUUUGUACCGGUCGUAGUUUACUAAAUCUGGCCAGAUAAAGUCCAGGUGUG
rnacentral:lncRNA from 1 species